rnacentral:rRNA from 1 species
CAGCCCAUUAAGUUAUGUGUGUUUUAGUGGAACGCUCUGGGAAGUGCGAACGUAGAGGGUGAUAUUCCCGUACACGAAAGGGCACACAUAAUGAUGACGAGUAGGGCGAGGCACGUGAAACCUUGUCUGAAUAUGGGGGGACCAUCCUCCAAGGCUAAAUACUCCUGACUGACCGAUAGUGAACCAGUACCGUGAGGGAAAGGCGAAAAGAACCCCUGUGAGGGGAGUGAAAUAGAUCCUGAAACCGCAUGCAUACAAGCAGUGGGAGCACCUUCGUGGUGUGACUGCGUACCUUUUGUAUAAUGGGUCAGCGACUUAUAUUCAGUAGCGAGGUUAACCGUAUAGGGGAGCCGUAGAGAAAUCGAGUCUUAAUAGGGCGUUUAGUUGCUGGGUAUAGACCCGAAACCAGGCGAUCUAUCCAUGAGCAGGUUGAAGGUUGGGUAACACUAACUGGAGGACCGAACCCACUGUCGUUGAAAAGCCAGGGGAUGACUUGUGGAUAGGGGUGAAAGGCUAAUCAAGCCUGGUGAUAGCUGGUUCUCCCCGAAAGCUAUUUAGGUAGCGCCUCGGACGAAUACCAUAGGGGGUAGAGCACUGUUUCGGCUAGGGGGUCAUCCCGACUUACCAAACCGAUGCAAACUCCGAAUACCUAUGAGUACUAUCCGGGAGACAGACUGCGGGUGCUAACGUCCGUAGUCAAGAGGAAAACAAUCCAGACCGCCAGCUAAGGCCCCAAAAUCAUAGUUAAGUGGGAAACGAUGUGGGAAGGCAUAGACAGCUAGGAGGUUGGCUUAGAAGCAGCCACCCUUUAAAGAAAGCGUAAUAGCUCACUAGUCGAGUCGGCCUGCGCGGAAGAUGUAACGGGGCUAAAACUAUGUGCCGAAGCUGCGGAUGUAUACUUUGUAUACGUGGUAGGGGAGCGUUCUGUAAGCCGAUGAAGGUGUGUUGAGAAGCAUGCUGGAGGUAUCAGAAGUGCGAAUGCUGACGUGAGUAACGACAAAACGGGUGAAAAACCCGUUCGCCGAAAGACCAAGGGUUCCAGUCCAACGUUAAUCGGGGCUGGGUGAGUCGACCCCUAAGGCGAGGCCGAAAGGCGUAGUCGAUGGGAAAAUGGUUAAUAUUCCAUUACUUCUGUGUAAUGCGAUGAGAGGACGGAGAAGGCUAAAUCAGCCUGGCGUUGGUUGUCCAGGUGAAAGGAUGUAGGCAUGUAUCUUAGGCAAAUCCGGGGUACUCUAUGCUGAGAUCUGAUAGCAAGCUGUACUUGUACAGCGAAGUGGUUGAUGCCAUGCUUCCAGGAAAAGUCUCUAAGCUUCAGUUACACAGGAAUCGUACCCGAAACCGACACAGGUGGUCAGGUCGAGUAGACCAAGGCGCUUGAGAGAACUCUGCUGAAGGAACUAGGCAAAAUGGUACCGUAACUUCGGGAGAAGGUACGCUGUUGUUGGUGAUGGAACUCGCUUCCUGAGCUGACGACAGCCGCAGAAACCAGGCCGCUGCAACUGUUUAUUAAAAACAUAGCACUCUGCAAACACGAAAGUGGACGUAUAGGGUGUGAUGCCUGCCCGGUGCUGGAAGGUUAAUUGAUGGGGUUAGCGUAAGCGAAGCUCUUGAUCGAAGCCCCAGUAAACGGCGGCCGUAACUAUAACGGUCCUAAGGUAGCGAAAUUCCUUGUCGGGUAAGUUCCGACCUGCACGAAUGGCAUAAUGAUGGCGGCGCUGUCUCCAGCAGAGGCUCAGUGAAAUCGAAAUCGCUGUGAAGAUGCAGUGUACCCGCGGCUAGACGGAAAGACCCCGUGAACCUUUACUGCAGCUUGACACUGAACUUUGACCUUACUUGUGUAGGAUAGGUGGGAGGCUUUGAAGCUGGAACGCUAGUUCCAGUGGAGCCGUCCUUGAAAUACCACCCUGGUAAUGUUGAGGUUCUAACUCUGUCCCGUGAUCCGGGACGAGGACCGUGUCUGGUGGGUAGUUUGACUGGGGCGGUCUCCUCCUAAAGAGUAACGGAGGAGUACGAAGGUGCGCUCAGCGUGGUCGGAAAUCACGCGUAGAGUAUAAAGGCAAAAGCGCGCUUAACUGCGAGACCCACAAGUCGAGCAGGUACGAAAGUAGGUCUUAGUGAUCCGGUGGUUCUGUAUGGAAGGGCCAUCGCUCAACGGAUAAAAGGUACUCUGGGGAUAACAGGCUGAUACCGCCCAAGAGUUCAUAUCGACGGCGGUGUUUGGCACCUCGAUGUCGGCUCAUCUCAUCCUGGGGCUGAAGCAGGUCCCAAGGGUAUGGCUGUUCGCCAUUUAAAGAGGUACGCGAGCUGGGUUUAGAACGUCGUGAGACAGUUCGGUCCCUAUCUACCGUGGGCGCUGGAAAUUUGAGAGGAUCUGCUCCUAGUACGAGAGGACCAGAGUGGACGAACCUCUGGUGUACCGGUUGUGACGCCAGUCGCAUCGCCGGGUAGCUAUGUUCGGAAGGGAUAACCGCUGAAAGCAUCUAAGCGGGAAGCCUACCUCAAGAUAAGAUUUCCCUAGGACUUUAUGUCCUCUAAAGAGCCGUUCGAGACUAGGACGUUGAUAGGUUGGAUGUGGAAGCAUAGUGAUAUGUGAAGCUGACCAAUACUAAUUGCUCGUGAGGCUUGACUA